GCCAUCCUCCUGUGACAAGAUACCCUUCAGCCUCUAACCACAGAAUUUUGAUGCUUUCUCUCUUUUAUAUUCACUUCAAACUAGUGAUACAAUGAGGCUACUCAAACCCUUCACCACUGGACCAAUCAUAUUGACUUACAUAUAUAACUGGAAUUGAAAGUUCACUGAACUUCUUGAGUGAAUUUCAAUUUAUGGUGGUGUGGAGGCAGUGGAGGCGAAUCUAUGGUGAAGUUGGCAUACCAGAAUAUUAUGCACUUUGGGAACCAACUGAGUCAUACUAUAUGGAGGAGGAUUUGGUCCGGGAAAGGGGUGCCGCACAUCAGCUGCUAGGCGUUCUGAAACUACCUAGUUGUAUUUUGUGCUUUUCUCUGGGCGUAAGCCCCAUCUUUAACCAAAAAAAAAAGAAGAAGUUACCAUUAUAUUACAAUAUGACUUCUUCAAUGCGGUUUAUUAGUUUCAUGCACCAAAUAAAAAGACAUAUAUGCUUUGCUGAAUUAUGUGAUAAUCAC